GACGAACGCUGGCGGCGUGCUUAACACAUGCAAGUCGAACGGAAAGGCCCUGCUUUUGUGGGGUGCUCGAGUGGCGAACGGGUGAGUAACACGUGAGUAACCUGCCCUUGACUUUGGGAUAACUUCAGGAAACUGGGGCUAAUACCGGAUAGGAGCUCCUGCUGCAUGGUGUGGGUUGGAAAGUUUCGGCGGUUGGGGAUGGACUCGCGGCUUAUCAGCUUGUUGGUGGGGUAGUGGCUUACCAAGGCUUUGACGGGUAGCCGGCCUGAGAGGGUGAGCGGGCACAUUGGGACUGAGAUAGGGACACGACUCCUACGGGAGCGAGAAGUGGGAAAUAUUGCACAAUGGGCGGGAGCGUGAUGCAGAAACGCCGAGUGCGGGAUGACGGCAUGCGGGUUGUAAACCGAUUUCGCCUGUGACGAAGAGAGAGUGACGGUAAUGGGUAAAGAAGCACCGGCUAACUACGUG
rnacentral:rRNA from 1 species